GAAUUGCAGAUAAAACGUCUUCAGAAUAUUUUUUUAUUUUUUUUUUUUUUGCGACUGAAGUCUAAUUAGAACCUGAUUGUGGCCUUGUCACCUCUGCAGUCAGUGACAGAUACAUUAUGUCCCACCACUGCUUAUGUGCCUGCUUUGUCUGACUUUCUGUGGAUUCCAGCAGCGAGUGACUUGUGACAUGCUUAUUUAAAGGGCUUCAUCACUCCCAUGUAUAAUACAGAGAUUUCUCUAGUGAUAAAAAGGGAUCUCUGGAUGGAGCAAAGCAGGGAAGACUAA
rnacentral:lncRNA from 1 species